rnacentral:rRNA from 1 species
UACGGAGGGUGCGAGCGUUGUCCGGAAUCACUGGGCGUAAAGGGCGCGUAGGCGGCCGUGUAAGUCACUUGUGAAAUCCCGGGGCUCAACUCCGGGGCUGCAGGUGAGACUGCGUGGCUAGAGCUCGGUAGAGGCAAGUGGAAUUCCCGGUGUAGCGGUGGAAUGCGUAGAUAUCGGGGAAGAACACCGGUGGCGAAGGCGGGUCUCUGGGGCCGUAACUGACGCUGAGGAGCGAAAGCGUGGGGGAGCAAACAGG